rnacentral:lncRNA from 1 species
UUUACAUUUCAAGAAAAGUAUUAGCAGCACCAGCAUCACUACAAACAAUCCUGCACAAAUUUACACCACAUUGAGCAUUACACAAACGUCUUUUACCAUUCACAGUUUGUAAUUUUUCAUGAAUAAUUUUUUUUUAAAGAAUUUUUCAUGAAUAAUAUAACUCAAAUUGCAAUUUCAGAAAAGUAACUUCACAUUUUGCAUGCACGUAGGCACUUUUUAUAGUCCAAAACCAGAGAACUGCC